AACAUGGCUCGAUCGAAGAAUCAAUUGCGACAGCUAUUGCGUCUCCGUUUAUACUGUGUUGCAAAUCGUGAAUUCUUUAAAGAGGUCAAGCGUAAAUUGCGAGUAACAUAAAGAUAUGGAGGAGGCUAUCAGUCAUUGGAGCUUUUCAGAAAUCUAUAUGUUAGAGAUCUCGAUCAUAAAUAUCAGGCAUCGUAUUGGGCCUAUUUACUCGAAAGCCCACUAUGAUUAUUAUGCAGGAUCCGCGUGUUUUACCGUUUGUAGAUCCGAGACCCGCGUAUUUUACCGAAUGGAGAUCCGACUACAAGAUCC